rnacentral:rRNA from 1 species
GUAUAGGGGCUGACGCCUGCCCGGUGCUGGAAGGUUAAGGGGAAGUGUUAGCGUUAAGCGAAGCACUGAACUUAAGCCCCAGUAAACGGCGGCCGUAACUAUAACGGUCCUAAGGUAGCGAAAUUCCUUGUCGGGUAAGUUCCGACCCGCACGAAAGGCGUAACGACUUGGGCACUGUCUCAACAAGGGACCCGGUGAAAUUGUAGUACCAGUGAAGAUGCUGGUUACCCGCGGCAGGACGGAAAGACCCCGUGGAGCUUUACUGCAGGCUGACAUUGGAUUUUGGUAUCACAUGUACAGGAUAGGUGGGAGACUGAGAAAUCGGGGCGCCAGCUUCGAUGGAGUCGACCUUGGGAUACCACCCUUGUGGUACUGAAGUUCUAACCAGAGGCCGUGAAUCCGGUCUUGGGACACUGUCAGUUGGGCAGUUUGACUGGGGCGGUCGCCUCCUAAAGAGUAACGGAGGCGCUCAAAGGUUCCCUCAGCACGGUCGGAAAUCGUGCGAAGAGUGUAAAGGCAGAAGGGAGCUUGACUGCGAGA